rnacentral:rRNA from 1 species
GAUGAACGCUGGCGGCGUGCCUAAUACAUGCAAGUCGAGCGAACAGACGAGGAGCUUGCUCCUCUGACGUUAGCGGCGGACGGGUGAGUAACACGUGGAUAACCUACCUAUAAGACUGGGAUAACUUCGGGAAACCGGAGCUAAUACCGGAUAAUAUAUUGAACCGCAUGGUUCAAUAGUGAAAGACGGUGUUGCUGUCACUUAUAGAUGGAUCCGCGCCGCAUUAGCUAGUUGGUAAGGUAACGGCUUACCAAGGCAACGAUGCGUAGCCGACCUGAGAGGGUGAUCGGCCACACUGGAACUGAGACACGGUCCAGACUCCUACGGGAGGCAGCAGUAGGGAAUCUUCCGCAAUGGGCGAAAGCUUGACGGAGCAACGCCGCGUGAGUGAUGAAGGUCUUCGGAUCGUAAAACUCUGUUAUUAGGGAAGAACAAAUGUGUAAGUAACUAUGCCCGUCUUGACGGUACCUAAUCAGAAAGCCACGGCUAACUACGUG